UACGGAAGGCAGCAGUGGGGAAUAUUGCACAAUGGGCGCAAGCCUGAUGCAGCCAUGCCGCGUGUAUGAAAAAGGCCUUCGGGUUGUAAAGUACUUUCAGUCGUGAGGAAGGUGUUAAGGUUAAUAACCUUAGCAAUUGACGUUAGCGACAGAAGAAGCACCGGCUAACUCCGUGCCAGCAGCCGCGGUAAUACGGAGGGUGCGAGCGUUAAUCGGAAUUACUGGGCGUAAAGGGCACGCAGGCGGUUAAUUAAGUUGGAUGUGAAAUCCCCGGGCUUAACCUGGGAAUGGCAUUCAAGACUGGUUAGCUAGAGUCUUGUAGAGGGGGUGAAUUCCAUGUGUAGCGGUGAAAUGCGUAGAGAUGUGGAGGAAUACCGGUGGCGAAGGCGGCCCCUGGACAAAGACUGACGCUCAUGUGCGAAAGCGUGGGGAGCAAACGAGGGAUUAGAUACC
rnacentral:rRNA from 1 species